CUCGUAGGUGGCCAACUAAGUCGGACGUGAAAUCCCUCGGCUUAACCGGGGAACUGCGUCCGAUACUGGUUGGCUUGAGUUUGGGAGAGGGAUGCGGAAUUCCAGGUGUAGCGGUGAAAUGCGUAGAUAUCUGGAGGAACACCGGUGGCGAAGGCGGCAUCCUGGACCAAUACUGACGCUGAGGAGCGAAAGCCAGGGGAGCAAACG
rnacentral:rRNA from 1 species